UACAGAGGUCUCAAGCGUUGUUCGGAUUCACUGGGCGUAAAGGGUGCGUAGGUGGUGAGGUAAGUCGGAUGUGAAAUCUCCAGGCUCAACCUGGAAACUGCAUUGGAAACUACCUUGCUGGAGGAUUUGAGAGGGGAUUGGAAUACUUGGUGUAGCAGUGAAAUGCGUAGAUAUCAAGUGGAACACCAGUGGCGAAGGCGAAUCCCUGGAAAAUACCUGACACUGAGGCACGAAAGCUAGGGGAGCAAACAGG
rnacentral:rRNA from 1 species